rnacentral:rRNA from 1 species
UACGUAGUGUGCAAGCGUUACUCGGAAUCACUGGGCGUAAAGCGCGCGUAGGCGGGGGAUUAAGUGAGAGGUGAAAGGCUGGGGCUCAACCCCAUGCAGUGCCUCUCAUACUGGUUUUCUUGAGGGCGGUAGGGAGAAGUGGAAUGGCUGGUGUAGCGGUGAAAUGCGUAGAUAUCAGUCGGAACACCGGUGGCGAAGGCGGCUUCUUGGGCCGUUCCUGACGCUGAGGCGCGAAAGCUGGGGGAGCGAACGGG